UUACCUUCCAGGACAGGGAGAGCGUGUGACUCAGGGAGAUUUCUCAUGACAGCUGGGCCAAGCAGAAGCCCCGCCUGGACAUCCUGAGUUACGCUGUUCUUGCUCAAGCUCUCCUAUGCUCUGUGGCUCCCCAGCAUGCUCCUUGCCCUGGCCUGACUGAGUUUACUCUAAAUACAGACCUGACGCUUGUGAGAAUCUUUGCUUCCCAUCCAGACCCACCCUAAAACUCCCUUCCUGUGUGAAGAGCAUGCGGAAAGACGAUGACAUCACGGACUGGUAGCCUGGAGAGGAAGCAGGAUUAAUGCCAUCUCCCCAUCGCUUCCACGAGGAAAGGGAAUGGAGGGAGUCUUGGCUGCUGGCCAAAGCAUGAGGCUGUUGGGUCUUCAGACACAUGGAGGGGUGUCCUUACCAAGGAUGUUUCCCGGGAGGAACACCAGGAGGCUCAUGGCGAAGGAGCCCAGCCAGUAGAGCCCAAGGUUCCGGUACCUCUUCCUGGGAAGUGAUAGAGGGGUAGCUGUGGGCUUAACCCCCAACUCCAAGGCCCUGCAGGGCCUUGGCUUUUCAGUUGGGUUCCUCUUGGGCUUUAUUUAUUUAUGGUAACUGCAGAUGGAAUGUGGGUCCUGAGCAUGCUCAGUAUGUGCUAGGAUGGCACCUCAGCACUGGGAAUGGUACCAGUGGUCCAGAUGUGGGUCUACAGCUAGCCACACCUGUUGACAGUCUCUGGAAACGUCUAGUCAUCCAUAUGUGAUCAUCCCAUACCCCUUCUCAAACACUCCUGGCUCCCCAGUGACCCGGGACCCGCCUGAGGAAUAACGUCCUCCUGGGUUCCCAGUGUCCGGUGUCCCUCACCUUUUGCGGAUGGCACCGGCCAUGGCCAGAUAGAGCAGGUAGUGCACAGUGCCGUCCCAGUAGCAGAUGAAGAUGCCGUGUGCUGUGCGCAGGUAGGGCUCACCCUGUGGGCACAAAUGGGGCUCCGGAGCUGGCAUGAUGGGGCCAGGACCACCCCCAGCCGCCCUGCUCUUGGUAGCCACUACCUACCUCCCUGGUGUAGAAAUCCGUAAAGCCCAUCACGUAGCCAUCUUCUUGGAGUGCAAUGAUAAGGUCCACCACCGAAGUGAAGGCGAGGGUCGCAAAGACUGGGGAGAGUGGGUGGGACUGAGCAGGUGCUCAGGGCUGACACGGGCAGGACGAGGGCUCAGUGUGCCUGUGGCCGAAGCCAGCACAGGGCAGUUUGAGCCUGCGCAACCUCAGGUUCUGUUCUUUUGACACAGGGUAUGAGUCUGUAGCACAGGCUGCCCCUGAACAAAUGGCAGUCUUCCUGCUGCAGCUUCCCAACUACUGGAAUUACAAGCACACAGCACCACACCUAACUUUUAGUUUAACUUAAAACUGGUCUUGAAGCUGGGCAGUGGUGGCAUAUACCCUUAAUCCCAGCACUCGGGAGGCAGAAGUAGGUGGCUCUCUGGGAGUUCAAGGCCAGUCUAGUCUACAGGGUGAGUUCCAGGAUAGGUUUGAAAGCUACACAGAAACACUGUCUGGGAAAAACAAACAAACAAACAAACAAACAAAAAACUGGACUUGAAACAUCAGGUCCAGGGCGAGGUGAUCUGGCAAGGCUCCAGGCCCAGACAAUCCAUAAUAGAAAUUCUACAGGUAUGAAGGAGGCGGCACAGGCAAGGCCUCGGAAGCCCCUGCUCUGGCUGAGCCUGACAAGGUGCUCUUGAUAUCACUGCACUCAGCACUCAGAUGACAGAGGCAGGAAAUCAGGAGUUUAAGGUCAGGCUGGGCCACGAGAGUGCUGGGGAGGACCUAGUCUGAUGGGGGAGACAUAAUUGUUUCUCUCUGCAGUUCCAACUCUGAAAGAGGAGGCCUUUUGAAGUUUUCCAGUCUGAUGGUGUUUCAGGCACUCUGAGUUCCACAGUUUAAUGGGCAUCCUUCAAAGACUGCUUGAGGUCCUUGGUUGGUGCCAAGUCUAGAGUGGAGGCCUUUUCCCGGACAGCCCCGCUCCCCACCACCCCUAAUGACUUACCAGCAUAGAGGGGGUCAUAGGUGAUCUCCGCAUGAGACAGGCUGUGGAUGGCCAUGAAGAGCAGUCCCAGUACCAGUACACUCAUCAGCACCAUACACAAGGGCCUGGGGCGGGACACCAAGGGAGGCCAUGCGUGGAUGAGACCUCCUAGAGGAGUUACUCAGGAAGGACGCUCGCCUUCCCCAACAGCGGUUUCUCGCUUAGGACUUCUGCCUGACAAACUCCUACUCACCCUUCAAGGUUCAUCUAUAUUGCUCCCCUGGAAACCCUCCCUGAUUCCCCUGUCCCUAUUAUUACUUCCAGUAAUUCCAUCAUUAGCUGACACAUUCA